AUAAAAUCCUCUUGUUGUCGUGAU
rnacentral:siRNA from 1 species